CCAACUUUUAGGGGACACCCAUUCUAGAACUACUCCCGUCUUAGCAUGUUUAACUCUUUUAACCUCUUAGGCCUAACCACUAUCUAAAAUGCUUAAGUUGGGUUAAGAGUCUUAGCCCUAUUAUAUUUUAUAUAUAGGAUUAUCCGGGGUCUUACAUUCUCAUCCCCUUAAGUCCUGAUGUUCUCGUCAAACUCAGACUC
rnacentral:lncRNA from 1 species